rnacentral:lncRNA from 1 species
GUUUUUACAAUAUCCUACACAGUAUCGUGAGAAAGCAUAAAAAAGAUUCAGAAAUUAUGUAACCUUAAAGCUUAGGCAAGCUAAGAGUAAUUUUUUAUUUCAAGAAAUUCAAUGAUUUCAAAGACAAUACAAGAAAGACUUGGCAAUGUAUUAAUACAAUUUUGGGAAAAAACAAAAGAUCAUCUUCAAGCAAUAAUUCUAUGACACUGAAUGGUGAAAUUGUAACUAAUAAAGAAGCAAUUGCAAAUGCCUUUAAUGAUUUUUUUGCUAUAAUUGGUACUAAAUUGUCUUCUCAACACAUUAAUAAUUCUGACACUAAUUUUGCUUCUUAUCUAGAUGACCCCAAUUUGCAAUCGUUAUAUCUCAAACCAAUAAAACCAAGUGAAAUAAUUGAUAUAGUUUUAAAAAUGAAAAGCAAUACAUACAAGUUCUGGUCAUGAUUCUAUAGGUAUCAAAGUUGUCAAGAAAAUAAUUUGUUUACCAGUCAUUUGCGAAAAUCUUGGUCAUAUUUUUAACUGUAGUAUAUCUUCUGGCAAAUAUCCUGACUUAAUGAAAAUAGCCAGAGUAACCCCAAUUUUUUUUAAAAAAGGUGAUACGAGUGAACUUAAUAAUUAUAGACCAAUCUCUGUACUCUCAAUAUUUGUUAAAAUACUCGAAAGAUGUAUGUAUAAUAGAGUUGUUUCUUUUUUUGAUAAACACCAAGUUCUUUUUUGUACUCAGUUUGGUUUUAGAUCUUCUGCAAUAUUGGAAUUGAUUCAUAAAAUUACGCAAGCAAUAGAAAGGAAAGAAUAUACAUUAACAGUUUUUAUUGAUUUGUCAAAAGCUUUGGACAUUAUAGAAACUGGUUUCGAAGUUAUUUGAAUGAAUGACAACAGUAUACAGUUAUAGAUGGUAUGGAAUCAAAAUACAAUACAGUAAGAUGUGGAGUGCCCCAGGGCUCUAUACUUGGUCCCCUUCUGUUUUUGAUUUACAUAAACGACUUGCCAAAAUGUUCAACCUUAUUAGAUUACAUAUUAUUUGCAGACGACAUCAGUAUUUUUCCUUCCAGUCCUGAUCCAACUCAACUUAUCUAUACCAUGAACACCCAAUUAAUAAAAUUACAUCAAUGGAUGUGUGCCAAUGAGCUGAUUUUAAAUGUAGAUAAAACUAUGUAAUAUUUGGUACACGUAAAAUUAGUAAUAACAUCCCAAAUAUUUAUUAUUAUCAUGGUAUUAUUAAUAGAGUGUCAAGUACUAAGUUCUUAGAUGUUAUGAUUGAUGAUAAGUUGUCUUGGAAUAAUCAUAUAAGUCAUCUAUGUGGUACCAUAUCUAGAAUUAUCAGAAUUCUUAGAAAAUUGUAAUUUUUGCCCAGAAAUGUUCUCAAAUUAUUGUAUCAUUCUUUAAUAUCUUCUCAUUUAAGUUAUUGUUCCACAGUGUGGGGCUUCUCAUCAAAAUAUAAUCUUAAUCGUAUAUUUUGUCUACAGAAAAGGGCACUAAGAGUUAUAACUCAUUCUCAUCAAAUCCUUCUUCCCCUCUAUUUUCCAAAAUUAAUAUUUUUUCAAUCCAUAGUAUCAUUUCUUUACAAACUGGUUCUUUCAUGAAUAACUGUUUUCAUGGUAGUAUACCACCGUCAAUUUUAAAUUAUUUUAAAUAUUGAAUCGAUCCAUUCAUUCCCAUAAUACACAAAAUAGAUGUAAAUUUCAUCCUCCUCUGUGUCGAACUGAGCUAGCCAAAUCAACCAUUUUUUAUCAGGGCCCUAUACUGUGGAACAAUCUCUCUGUUAAACUUCAGACAGCAAAGAUGUGAACUUUUCAACUUUAAUUACACUGAGCAACCCUUUUCUCUUGACAAAUAAUCAUAGCCUCUCUGUUUCUUUUCUUCUUCUUUCCUGUCCUGUCUUAUGCCAUAUGGAUGUAUUUUUAUGAUUAUGUAUGUAUUAUGUUUAAUGUAUUAUAUACUACCUACUAUGUGUGCUUAUGAAUGUUAUUUUGGUCCACCACUAUUUUUAAAAUGUAUUUGUAUAUUGCUUUGCAUAUAUUUUAAUUUUGUGGAAA